rnacentral:rRNA from 1 species
UGGGGAAUUUUGGACAAUGGGCGAAAGCCUGAUCCAGCAAUGCCGCGUGUGUGAAGAAGGCCUUCGGGUUGUAAAGCACUUUUGUCCGGAAAGAAAUCCUUGGCUCUAAUACAGUCGGGGGAUGACGGUACCGGAAGAAUAAGCACCGGCUAACUACGUGCCAGCAGCCGCGGUAAUACGUAGGGUGCAAGCGUUAAUCGGAAUUACUGGGCGUAAAGCGUGCGCAGGCGGUUUGCUAAGACCGAUGUGAAAUCCCCGGGCUCAACCUGGGAACUGCAUUGGUGACUGGCAGGCUAGAGUAUGGCAGAGGGGGGUAAAAUUCCACGUGUAGCAGUGAAAUGCGUAGAGAUGUGGAGGAAUACCGAUGGCGAAGGCAGCCCCCUGGGCCAAUACUGACGCUCAUGCACGAAAGCGUGGGGAGCAAACAGGAUUAGAUACCCUGGUAGUCCACGCCCUAAACGAUGUCAACUAGUUGUUGGGGAUUCAUUUUCCUUAGUAACGUAGCUAACGCGUGAAGUUGACCGCCUGGGGAGU